rnacentral:lncRNA from 1 species
UGCAGUGACAAGAUCGACUCACUGCAACCUCCACCUCCUAGGCUCAGACGAUUCUCCUGCCUCAGCCUCCCGAGUAGCUGGGAUUACAGGCAUGUGCCACCAUGCCCAGCUAAUGUUGUAUUUUUAGGCCACUGGUACACACCACCACAGCUGGCUAAUUUUUUCUUGUAUUUUUUGUAGAGAUGGGGUUUCGCCGUGUUGCUCCGGCUGGUCUGAAACUCCUGGGCUCAAGGGAUCCACCUGCCUUGGCCUCCCAAAGUGCAGGGAUUACAGGCAAAAGACAUGGCACCGGGCCUCAUGUAGGUGUUUAUAAUGAUCUCGGUUGUGAUGGUUAAUUUUAUGUGUCAGCUGGACUGGCUUGAGGGAUGCCCAGAUAGCUAGUGAAACAGUAUUUCUGGGUGUCUCUGAGAGGUGUCUCUGGAAAAGAUGAACAUUUGACUCAGUAGACCAAGAAAAGAAGAUCCAGCUUCAAUGAACGUGGCGGUG